CAGCAGCCGCGGGAACACGUAGGUGGCGAGCGUUGUCCGGAAUCAUUGGGCGUAAAGGGAGCGCAGGCGGGCAUGUAAGUCUUUCUUAAAAGUUCGGGGCUCAACCCCGUGAUGGGAAAGAAACUACAUGUCUUGAGUACAGGAGAGGAAAGCGGAAUUCCCAGUGUAGCGGUGAAAUGCGUAGAUAUUGGGAGGAACACCAGUGGCGAAGGCGGCUUUCUGGACUGCAACUGACGCUGAGGCUCGAAAGCCAGGGGAGCGAACGGGAUUAGAUACCCGAGUAGUCCCUGUCUCUUAUACA
rnacentral:rRNA from 1 species